ensembl:snRNA U6 U6 spliceosomal RNA
GAGCUUACUUCUAUAGCACAUGUACUAAAAUCGAAACAAUACAGAGAUUAGCAUGGCCCCUGCACAAGGAUGUCAUGUAAAUUUGUGAAGCAUUCAUAUUUUAA